rnacentral:rRNA from 1 species
GAAAGCCUGAUGGAGCAACGCCACGUGGGUGAAGAAGGUCUUCGGAUCGUAAAACCCUGUUGUCAGAGAAGAAAGUGCAUGAGAGUAACUGUUCAUGUUUCGACGGUAUCUGACCAGAAAGCCACGGCUAACUACGUGCCAGCAGCCGCGGUAAUACGUAGGUGGCAAGCGUUAUCCGGAUUUAUUGGGCGUAAAGGGAACGCAGGCGGUCUUUUAAGUCUGAUGUGAAAGCCUUCGGCUUAACCGGAGUAGUGCAUUGGAAACUGGGAGACUUGAGUGCAGAAGAGGAGAGUGGAACUCCAUGUGUAGCGGUG